GAAAAUAGAACAAGAUGUUGGUGCGCAUCUCAGUUGUAAUUGGCUAUUGGAGAUCAAGGUUCGAUCCCUCGAAGCUUCAAUUUUGUUAUAAAGACAUUCAGUCAUUUCAAAUUACCCCGUGGGUUGGGGGUUGCGUCCUACGAAAAUCCGAAUUCGAAAAAACAUGAAAAAAGGGACAGUUUGAUACAAUUUCUCACGCAACAAGACAAGGUUAAUUAUGUAAAAUAAAAAUAAAUAGAUAAAUAAAUAAAUAAAUAAUUACAUGGUUAAUAAAUUACUCCCCAUUUUCUCAUUUUCCCCUAAACUCUCAACUCAACUUUCUGUCUAGCUCAACUUCUCAAGGACCUCAACGCGCCGCGCGCACCGCCCACGACACCGGGCUGCCGCCCUCCGCCAGUCCUGCUGCCUGCUGCAUAGACGCACAGUCGCCCACUCGCCUGAGCCCGGCAGACACAUUAAUAAUUAAUGCUUGGUAACCAGUUACAAGAGGUAACAAUCAGGCAGUACCAAAGUCCAGUACCCACCUUUUAUCUUCACUCUUUUCUACGGUGGUGGAAGAAGUAGAGGAAGGGAGGAGAGAGAGAGCCUUGGAACAGCGGUAAAGAAGGUGUUCAAUAGUAUCAGAUAUGUCAAUGGAGCCGAAGAAUGACGAGUCGAACUCUGAAGCAAACUCAGCAACAAAGAAGAAGAAAAGAGGAAUAAAUAUACAAGGCUAUCAAAUUGAGGGUUUAUCAAUCGCUGGCCAAGAAACAUGCGUUAUCUUCCCUUCUCUCAACCUCGCUUUCGAUAUCGGAAGGUGCCCUCAACGCGCCAUUUCUCAAGACUUCCUUUUUAUCUCCCAUGGUCAUAUGGACCACAUUGGAGGAUUACCGAUGUAUGUUGCGAUUCGUGGAUUGUUCUCUAUGAAACCUCCUACAAUUUUUGUGCCUAAAGCUAUAAAAGAGGAUGUGGAAAGGCUUUUUAAUGUACACAGAGCAAUGGACCAAUCUGAGCUGAAGAAUAAUUUAGUUGGUCUAGACGUGGGAGAAGAAUUCUAUAUUAGGAGGGAUCUCAAAGUUAAAGCAUUUAAGACAUAUCAUGUCAUUCCCAGUCAGGGAUAUGUAGUUUAUUCAGUUAAGCACAAGCUUAAGCAGGAUUUCAUUGGUCUUCCUGGAAAAGAGAUCAAGGCUUUGAAGGAUAAAGGUGUGGAGAUUACCACAACAACUACAUCCCCUGAGAUAGCAUUUACUGGAGACACAACAGCUGACUUCAUUGUUGAUCCAGCUAAUGUUGAUGUGCUGAGGGCAAAGAUUCUUGUGAUGGAGUGCACCUUCUUAGACAAAGCAGUUGACGUGGUGCAUGCAAGAGAUUAUGGACAUACACAUCUGGAUGAGGUUGUAAAGUAUGCUGAUAAGUUUCAGAAUAAGGCAAUUCUUCUGAUCCACUUUUCUGCAAGAUACUUCAUAGAGGAAAUUGAAGAAGCCAUUUCAAGAUUGCCAUCAACUUUUGCUGGCCGGAUCUUUGCACUCACUGAAGGGAUUUGAUGAUUGGUGUUAUAAUGAAGGCUUUCAGCCACAUCCAUCUCCUGUACAGAAGUCGAGUUUUUGUGCAUUAAAUUAUUGAACUGAUAACAGUGCUGGGGCGGAUGGAUCUUUUCGUGAGCUUCAUUCUUCUUCGGUUUUGGGAGGUGGGUCUCGGGCUUUCCUGGCUGUGUCUGCUUUGCAAGCUGAGUUCCAAGCUUGUUUUUGGCCCAGCGGCAAGUGUUUCGUAAAAUUGCUAUAUAUACUGACUGCUCUUCCUUGGGGGAUCCUGCUCGGUUGAUAUAUUUGCUUUUUGGUUGUCUUGGGAAAUUCAGGCUGCUAUCGACCUUUUCGUCUGCUUUAUUCGAAAGAGAAUAUUAUUACCAAAAGGAGUUGCAAAGCAGCAAACAAGAAUACAAAAGCCCAAAGGCCUAAACUCCAAUACACCAAGAGCCCCUAUGGGCACACAACCACCAGCCAAGGACCAAGACCCAAAGGCCACCUUCUAGGAAGGGUUCCAAAGAACCUUGGACCAAACCCGGCUCUUUUGAACUCAGUGGAAAAGAGCUACCCUCUAGGAGGAUUACCCAAAACCACAGAAACAGGAUAACGACAAACACAAAAACUCUCAAAGAAAAGGCCAUCAAAAAGAAAAGAAAAAAUAGAGGUCAAUAUACCGAAACAGCAACAACAACAGCAUGCAGAAACAGCAGCGGCCAACAAUAACAACAACUGCAUGCAGAAACAGCAGCAGCCUGCAGAAACAGUAACAGCAUACUGAAACAGUAUCAGCAUACAGAAACAACAUCAGCAGCCACAAACCAGAACCCAGCAACAGAAACCAGAGACAGCAACAUCACACAGCAAGACAGGCAGCAUCCCAGCCUGAACCAGCAUCAAACAGCAGCCUGAAACAGAGAAAAACCAGCCUGCACACCCAGCUACAGCUGCACAUAACAGCAAGCAACAACUACAGGCCAUAAAGCAAUAACAAUAGCUAGCAACAUCAGAAAGCAGCAAAAAACUCUGAAACCAGAAGCAAGAAACAGCAAUAUUACAUCAGCAGCCAAGAACAGAACAGAAGCAGCAAGCCAGAAGGCAGCAGCCACAACAAUAACAAACUAAACAGCAACAACAACCAAAAACCAACUACUGAUAACCAACCCAGCGCAUUGAAACUGAACAACAGCAGUAGCAGGGAACAAAGCAAUAGCAACAGCUAGCAACACAUAACCCAACAAAAGCCACAGCAGCAGCUCAAACUAGCAGCAGGUCAUGAGAUAUUUCCGAGCUCCUUCUGAGCAUCUACAAACAACUCUAAACACAAUAUUCCGAAACUCGGAAUUAGCAUCGACACAAGAACCAUUAAACAUGGUUGAGUUACGUUGAAUCCAAAUGCUAUAGACCGUUUCAGCAAAAAACAUUAAGAAUAAGUUCUUCCUCUCA